ACAAUGGCGUAAACAGAGGGAAGCGAGCCUGCGAGGGGGAGCGAAUCCCAAAAAUAAGUCCCAGUUCGGAUUGUAGUCUGCAACCCGACUACAUGAAGCUGGAAUCGCUAGUAAUCGCGGAUCAGAAUGCCGCGGUGAAUACGUUCCCGGGCCUUGUACACACCGCCCGUCACACCAUGAGAGUCGGGAACACCCGAAGUCCGUAGCCUAACCGCGGAGGGGGGCGCGGCCGAAGGUGGGUUCGAUAAUUGGGGUGAAGUCGUAACAAGGUAAC
rnacentral:rRNA from 1 species